UUUUAAUCAAAUACCAUUUUGACUUGAAGACAUGAUGGCUAGACAAACCGUGAUUAUUCAAACUGAACAUCUGGGUGACAUUUUCUUAAAAAUGAAUGAAGUACAUCUGACCCUUCAGGGAAAAAAAAGGUGGAAUUGGGACGAGAGACGCACCGCGGGCGCUCCUGAGCUCUAUGACCUGGUUCCAGACCACUAAUAGAACCCAUA
rnacentral:lncRNA from 1 species